GGUGGAGCGAUUUGUCUGGUUAAUUCCGAUAACGAACGAGACUCUAGCCUGCUAAAUAGGCAGCGGACUUAUGUCCGCUGAACUUCUUAGAGGGACAAGCAGCUUCUAGCUGCACGAGAUUGAGCAAUAACAGGUCUGUGAUGCCCUUAGAUGUCCGGGGCUGCACGCGCGCUACACUGAAGGAAUCAACAUGCUUCUUUACCUUACCCGGAAGGGUUAGGUAACCCGUUGAAACUCCUUCGUGAUAGGAAUAGGGAAUUGCAAUUAUUUCCCUUGAACGAGGAAUUCCUAGUAAGUGCGGGUCAUCAGCUCGCGCUGAAUACGUCCCUGCCCUUUGUAC
rnacentral:rRNA from 1 species